UCCCAGUUGGUGUAUCGGUAACAUAGCUGGCUUUCAUAGAAAGUCUAGUGCCCAGCAGCGCCGGGUUCGACUCCCGGACUGGGAA